UCUGCCUUGGGAACAGUGCAAAUCUGCCUU
rnacentral:piRNA from 1 species